AGGCUCGCACAUCGAUGAAGAACGCUGCGAACUGCGAUACGUAAUGCGAAUUGCAGGAUUCAGUGAGUCAUCGAAAUUUUGAACGCAUAUUGCACUUUCGGGUUAUGCCUGGAAGUAUGCCUGUAUCAGUGUCCGUA
rnacentral:rRNA from 1 species